UACGUAGGGGGCAAGCGUUGUCCGGAUUCAUUGGGCGUAAAGAGCGUGUAGGCGGCCAGGUAGGUCCGUUGUGAAAACUCGAGGCUCAACCUCGAGACGUCGGCGGAAACCCUCUGGCUAGAGUCCGGAAGAGGAGAGUGGAAUUCCUGGUGUAGCGGUGAAAUGCGCAGAUAUCAGGAAGAACACCCGUGGCGAAGGCGGCUCUCUGGGACGGUACUGACGCUGAGACGCGAAAGCGUGGGGAGCAAACAGG
rnacentral:rRNA from 1 species